ensembl:lncRNA
AUCCCAUCCCCUUGCAGGGCAGCUGCCGGCGGGGGUUACCCGUGGCUGGUGGAUGCGUGGCGUGGUGGCAGCACAGCCAGUUCUGCCGGUUGUUUGGGGAGCACUGAGAGAUACUACAAUGAUGCUGGCAUCACCCGUUACAUCGCCCAGACAGAGCAGUUUGGAGUGGGGGCUGGCGAGGGGCCGGUUUACAGCAGCAUCGCGGAUGACAGUGAGGAGAUCUGCACAUUCCCCCGUCCCUUCUCACAGUACGGGACCUCCUACCCCGGGGGCGGUUCCCAGCCAAUGGAUGCUGCAGCCUCCCAGGUGCCCCGUGGCCGGGCUGAGCACGGUAGGGUGGUCGCAGGGGUGGGGGCACACGUGGGUGCUCGUGGUGCGGUGCCCUCCCCACAGCCCCCCCAGCAUCCCUCCUUGGCACAGGGGCCAGAGCAAAACUGGGGCAAGCAGUGAAACCGCCGGUGGUGAGCUGGACAGAGCUGCUGCCCCCGCCGCCCUCAGCCAGUGAGCUCAGCCAGUGUGCCCAGGAGGAGGAGAAGGAGGAGGAAGAGGAGGAUGAAGAGGAAGAGGCAGCUGGAGGGUGAGUGUGGGGGCUUGGGGGCUGGGCGUGCUGCCCCCAGUAGCUACCCUGUGGUCUCCACCCUGCAGGAUGGGGAUGGAGGUGUGGUACCCUGGUGAGGACAUCCCCUGUGCCACUGCUGCAUCCUCACCCACCACCUCCUCUGGCUGCCGCUCCACCGCCACGCUGACGCCAUCACCCCGCACCACGGAGGACAUCCCUCGCCUCCGCGACUUCGAUAGCUCCCUCCUGCCCCGGUAGGAGAUGGGCCUUGCUUGGUAUGGCCGUGCCAUUGGGGUCUGGAUGUCCCUUUGGGGUCCAGAUGUCCCAUCCAGCUCCAGAUGUCCCACCAUGGCCUGGGUGUUCCAUUGCGAUCCAGCCAUGUUGCCACUACCCAGCCCUGCCAUGCCAUCACGGUCCAACUGUGUCAUGAGGGUCCAGGUGUCUCAUUGGGGCCCAGAUGUUCUGUUGGGGUCAAGAUGCCUUACCAUGGUCCAGAUGUUCCAGCACAGCCCAGCCAUUUUGUCAUCUGCCAUGCUGUCAUAGCCCAGCCAUGCUGCUGAGGGCCAGAUACGCUGCAGAGGUGUCCCACUGAGGUCUGGAUGUCGUGCCCAGUCAUGUUUACAUGAUCCAGUUCCACUGUUCCACCACAGUCUGACCUUACCACUGGACUCUGGACCAGGCUCUGGAUGUCCCAUCCUGGUCCAACCACUCUGUCAUGAUCUGGUCCUGCUGUGCCACCUGACCAUGCCAUUGGGGUUUGGAUGCCCCAGUGGAGUCUGGAUGUCCUACCAUGGUCCAGGUGUCUCUUUGUGAUCCAUUCAUGGUGUCACCAUCCACCCCUGCUCUCCAGCUGUGCUCUGGCCAUGCUCUCAUGACACAUCCAUGACAUUGUGGGUGACUGGGGCAUUGCAACACAGCUGCACCAUCACGAGACAGGUGGGCCAUCAUCACCCAGCUGUGCUGCUGUCACCCAGCUCUGCCACGAUCCGCCUGUGCCAUCACAAUGCUGGCAUGUCACUGCACUGCAGCUGUGCAGCUGCAAUCCAACGCCAUGGUUGCAAUCCAGCUGUGCUAUGACCCAGCUGUGCAGCUGCAGCCAAGCUGCAUGGUUUCAAUCCAGCUGUGCUACGAUCUAGGUGUGUCAUGAUUUAGCUGUGCAGCUGCAAUCUGCUAGUGUGCUUGCAAUCCAGAUGUGUGGUGGUCCAGCUGUGCCACUGCAAUCUAGCUGUGUGGCUGUAAUCCAGCUGGGCAGCCUCUAUCCAGCUGUGCUCCAGAUGUGCCAUUGCAGGCCAGUCAUGCUGUCACAACCCUGCCAGGCUGUGGUCCUCCACCCUAGCACUAAUCCAGCUCCCCUUUGCCACCCCAGCUGUGAUC